GUAGGUGAACCUGCGGAAGGAUCAUUAACACGUCCACACGUAUCAACCCUCGCGAAUCUGUUUAGUCGAUCCUGACACUGGGAGCUGAUGAACGUUAUAGCCGUUACGAUUGGGGAAAAUGCUCACCUGACUCUAAGAGAACCUUGGUUCUCGUGAGUUGGCUCUGGGUACUUUUUCGACGGUUGUUUAUCACUAUGGUUUCCAGUUUCAAUUUCAAAAGGAUCGUUUACCUUUCGACUCUAUUUUAAAC
rnacentral:misc_RNA from 1 species